rnacentral:lncRNA from 10 species
CCCCCGUGAAGUCCAGCUGAUGUCAUCAGUCUCACUCUUCAACAUCCCCGUUCUUUAAAUUCAAUGGGAUUUGAGGCUGCUUCUGUCUCCUCUGCCGGUGGAAUGUGCAGAUGGCACUGGCAGCUGCUCAAGCUGGUACUCCUCCUCAAUGCUUCUUGUUCCUCUGCUGGUGGACACUGCCGGUUGGGCCUCGUGCUGGCAGAGGCUGGAGAGCCCAGGAGGAGGGCAGCUGGGGAAUCUGACUUUUAUGGCUGAAAUGAAAACUCCCCUGGGUGGCCUGGAGGAAGUGUUCUGACCCUCUCUGAAUUACCCGCACUGAGAUGGCCGUGGCACUUCUGACUCCACAGAAAAGCUUGAAGGUCCAAUUUCCAUCUUCAGGAGGGAAACAUCUCCUGCUUCUGCCUUCAGACAGCCUUUCUCUGUGCUUCUUUGUGAGCCAUUUCUGAGAACCGCCUGCAUUCUGUUGCUAGUGGUGAAUUGAUUGAGAAGAUCCUUUGUUGAUAGUCCAGCUUCAAAAGCAUGCAGGCUGCUGUUUGUCUUCUUUCUUCCUUCCAACGGAGGAUAUGCUCCUACAGAGGAGUGGGGAAAAACAAAAAUGCCCUUUUUAUUUACUUAUAACUUCACUAAGCUUUUUGUAAAGGGGCCAUAGUAUCACUAUUUUGUGGGCCUCAAGAGACUGCUCACGCCUCCA